GCUGCAGGAGUGGCGGGUGGUGGAGCUGACGGGGUAGCAGGAGGAGGAGCUGCUGGAGUAGAUGGAGGAGGAGCAGCCGGAGUGGCGGGGGGGGGGGGGGGCGGGGGGGGGGGGGUCAAAUCUUCGUUCGUUGCCCUCGCGGUAGACGGAGGAGGCGCGGUGGUGUUAGUCGACGGCGGAGACGUGGGAGUAGGAGCUGACAUUUUUCACGGAACAGCUAAAUUUUUUUUUUUU
rnacentral:misc_RNA from 1 species